AAAUUACAUAACAAUUUGGUAAUGUAGGUGUUUGGUGUUUACAGAGGAAUCGUCAAUCAGCAAAUGGUAAGGAAACAGAGUAAACAUAUUGCUUCUGUCGAUAUCAAUGUUUCAUCAGGUGCUGCUAUUUUUACACUUCUUUUAUAAUACAUAUGUAUAUGUUUUUUCUGCUUUAAAUUCAGUCAGUAUAAAAAUAUCAGCACAUGUACAAAAACUUAUUGUUGGAGGAUUUACUGGAAGGAAAAAAUUUACCAAAAUAAAACUUCAAAAGAUCAGCCUAUGACCUUUAGAUAGAAUUUUUUGUAACCUAAUUUGUAAAUCAAGCUGUAAAUGUAAAAACCACCUACCCUGGGGGUUUAGGCUGUGACCCUGGGGCUCCAUCGUCUAGAGGGUUCUCAUAGGACCCUGAAUCUUGGAAAGGGCUGUCAUUCUGGUACCUCAAGAUGACCUUCUGAUUACUCCGGGUCUCCUCGCCACGGCGACGGUUACCCUGACCAUGACCUCUGAACUGCUGACCAGAUAUUUGACCUUGACUGUGACUAGUAUGAAUAUGAGAAUCAUGAAUGUGAAAUUGCAUCUGUCCCCUUGAAUACAUGUAAUUGGGCACAUCAAAUUGGCUCUCUCGAGCACCAUAGAAGUUGGACGCUGCAGAUCUGCUGUCUGUGAACACUUCACUCAUUGGUCUCACGGGUUUUCUCCUGGGGGAGUCAUUUAACCGGUCUCGUUUCUUCACCUCUGGGAUCAACACAUUAUCGUCCACACUGGACCAGUUCUUGUGUUUAUGUGGACUGUUGGUCAGUCCAUUAUGCUGGGGACUGCCAUUGUGCCGAGGACUAUGCACUCGCUCAUGUUUGGGACUAGUGUCCAACUCGCCUAAGCACUUUGAAUUUCGGUUCAUGUUGUGUCUGGGGUUGUAGUCUUUGUGUCCGUUUUGUGCUGGGCUGUGUCCAUUAAUUUGAGCUGGUAUGGCCGGCAAGGGCCGAUUCACCAUAUUGGUUGAAAUCUUCCUCUGAAAAGACAACCCAUGUAUUAUUUUAUGUUAAUAAAUUUUUCUAUCUUUCUGGGGUUUUUUUAUGCUCAUAUGCACAAAUAAAUUUCUUUUUUUAUUAAAGAAAUGGUUAUGUUAAUUGCAGUCGCAAAAUAUGUUUAAAAAUCUCUCCUUAAAAUGUGUGUUAAAUUGUUCACUUCUUCAAAAGACAGUAAAUUGCGCAGUCUUGUUAAUGAUGUUAACCACAAGUUCACUGUGAAGGUGAGAAAAUAACCUAAACAUUACACCUUAAAUUUUUUCUUAUGACAGACAGAGAAUAAAGACAAAUUAAGGUUAUCAAAGCAAAACAUUUCUGGAAAUUAUACUGACAGGUUAAAAAGAGAAGAAAAUGAAAAGAAAUGGCUCCCAAAUUGCGAAAGAGUUUGGGAUGUCUUUGUAAUGACACAAUACAUGUACAUCAAGUCUUGUCUUUACCGCCAGUCCCCUAUAACUACCUCAUACAUUACCCUUAAACCAUCACCCCUUGACACCCAAAUUACACCCCUUCACACCAAAAACCCCAUAUCUCAGUCACAAUAUAGACUUCAUUUAUAUUUCUUUACUGGAUUCAAACACCACUAUGACAGUCGUAAGCCUAUUGAUAAUGUCCCAAAAUACCACUUUCUUUCCAACAUUUUCAAAUUCUGAGUCAUCAGCUAGAACCUACUGAAACUGGAAUGAAAAAAAGAACCAACUAAGACUACAAUCUAAACUUUACUUUUCUUUCGCUACUUAUAUUUAAUACUUACCCUGCCAAGAAAUUCCUCUCACAUAGAACAUUUCCUUAAUGAAUUCAGAUUGUCUCAUGUUUAUAUAUAACUUUACACAGCGUGCUAACAAAGCUGUUAACUUACUUUAAAUGUUCGCUAUACCUUUUGCAGACAGUCAUACAUCACACAAUACG
rnacentral:sRNA from 1 species